ensembl:snRNA U6 U6 spliceosomal RNA
GUGCUCGCUUCGGCAGCACAUAUACUAAAAUUGGAAUGAUACAGAGAAGAUUAGCAUGGCCCCUGCACAAGGAUGACACGUAAAAUGUUUUAUGAUUUCUCCAACUGAU